AAAACUUUCAACAACGGAUCUCUUGGUUCCAGCAUCGAUGAAGAACGCAGCGAAAUGCGAUAAGUAAUGUGAAUUGCAGAAUUCAGUGAAUCAUCGAAUCUUUGAACGCACAUUGCGCCCCUCGGUAUUCCGGGGGGCAKGCCUGUUCAAGCGUCAUUA
rnacentral:rRNA from 1 species